UUUUCCUCCUCCUCCUCCUCCAGUUUUCUUUUUUUUUGGGGGGUGUGUUCUUCUCUUGCCCACCUGUUUGCAAUUAUCUCAUCACGUCUGCAGGAGAAGAAGUCUUCCACCCGAGACUCCAUGUGUCAUCUAAAUGAGCAUAUUUGUCGUGUUCCAGUCGCAAAGUUGUGGUGGUCGUGUUUCCCAGGAUGCAAAAAGGACGGCAGGAAGCAGCGUGCGGUAUCGACACCCCCGCUUGCAGUCCUCGCUGCCAUGGUUGCAGAGUCGACACUCUGAAUAUCAAGCGGCUGAUUGCUUCUGUCACCCGGUGAACUGGGUCUCGCCAGAUGUGCUUGUCGGUCGGCGUCAGCAGCGGGGAUUUGUCCCCUGGGCGGACCGGCGUUUGUAAGGUUGGACAGACGGUCCAGAAACGGGAGAGAGGAGGCCGUCCUGCCACUCACGUUGUCUUUUCCUCUUUUCGUCACUGUCGAGGGGACCGUCGAUGCCAGCGUCAGGCGGCUGCAGAGGCUCCUACGUCAACCUAAACAUAACUGCUGACUGUUGUCCUUCAAUCACGUGCUACGUCGCCACUAGUGUUGUCCCCAUACCAAUAUUUGUGUAUGUAUUUCGAUACUUUUCGGUAUUUUUCUAAAUAAAGGGGACCAC